CGGGUGAGUAACGCGUGGAAAACCUGCCGUAUACUGGGGGAUAACACUUAGAAAUAGGUGCUAAUACCGCAUAAGCGCACAGCUUCGCAUGAAGCAGUGUGAAAAACUCCGGUGGUAUACGAUGGUUCCGCGUCUGAUUAGCUAGUUGGUGAGGUAAAAGCCCACCAAGGCAACGAUCAGUAGCCGGCCUGAGAGGGUGAACGGCCACAUUGGGACUGAGACACGGCCCAGACUCCUACGGAAGGCAGCAG
rnacentral:rRNA from 1 species